AGCCAUAAUUUGAAUAGAUAAUAAAAGGGGUCAUUUACUAAGCUGAAAUAUGCCUAUAUUAGGCGCAUUUCAGGUGAAGAUUGUGGUGCAACAGCUAGUUGAGCCUCAGUCUGCAACUUCUCCCCGCUCAUGCCAGG